rnacentral:other from 1 species
GGUUUGCUGCGGCGUUUGUGUAGGGAAGUUUUAUUCCAGCGACCUUACAUUUUCAUCAGGGAGCUGGCUCUGGUCUGGAUCGUGGUCCUAACUACCUGGUGCCCACCUAGCUUGCUGGGUCGAUGGGAAUACACAUACCCCACGGCGUUUGUGGCGCCACC